rnacentral:rRNA from 1 species
CCUACGGGUGGCUGCAGUGGGGAAUCUUGCGCAAUGGGCGAAAGCCUGACGCAGCCAUGCCGCGUGAAUGAUGAAGGUCUUAGGAUUGUAAAGUUCUUUCGCUCGUGACGAUGAUGACGGUAACGAGAGAAGAAGCCCCGGCUAACUUCGUGCCAGCAGCCGCGGUAGUACGAAGGGGGCUAGCGUUGUUCGGAAUUACUGGGCGUAAAGCGCGCGUAGGCGGUUUUGCAAGCCAGAGGUGAAAUGCCUGAGCUCAACUUAGGAAUUGCCUUUGGGACUGGGAGGCGUUGAGGACGGAAGAGGUGAGUGGAAUUCCCAGUGUAGAGGUGAAAUUCGUAGAUAUUGGGAAGAACACCGGUGGCGAAGGCGGCUCACUGGUCCGUUUCUGACGCUGUAGCGCGAAAGCGUGGGGAUCAAACAGGAUUAGAUACCCGUGUAGUC